rnacentral:rRNA from 1 species
AAAUUGAAGAGUUUGAUCAUGGCUCAGAUUGAACGCUGGCGGCAGGCCUAACACAUGCAAGUCGAACGGUAACAGGAAGCAGCUUGCUGCUUCGCUGACGAGUGGCGGACGGGUGAGUAAUGUCUGGGAAACUGCCUGAUGGAGGGGGAUAACUACUGGAAACGGUAGCUAAUACCGCAUAACGUCGCAGGACCAAAGAGGGGGACCUUCGGGCCUCUUGCCAUCA